UACGGAGGGGGUUAGCGUUGUUCGGAAUUACUGGGCGUAAAGCGCGCGUAGGCUGACUAGUAAGUCAGAGGUGAAAUCCCGGGGCUCAACCUCGGAACUGCCUCCAAAACUAUCAGUCUGGAGUUCGAGAGAGGUGAGUGGAAUUCCGAGUGUAGAGGUGAAAUUCGUAGAUAUUCGGAGGAACACCAGUGGCGAAGGCGGCUCACUGGCUCGAUACUGACGCUGAGGCGCGAAAGCGUGGGGAGCGAAUAGG
rnacentral:misc_RNA from 1 species